rnacentral:rRNA from 1 species
AACGAACGCUGGCGGCAGGCCUAACACAUGCAAGUCGAGCGCGCCCUUCGGGGUGAGCGGCGGACGGGUGAGUAACGCGUGGGAACGUGCCCUUUUCUACGGAAUAGCCUCGGGAAACUGAGAUUAAUACCGUAUACGCCCUUUGGGGGAAAGAUUUCUCGGAAAAGGAUCGGCCCGCGUUGGAUUAGGUAGUUGGUGGGGUAAUGGCCUACCAAGCCGACGAUCCAUAGCUGGUUUGAGAGGAUGAUCAGCCACACUGGGACUGAGACACGGCCCAGACUCCUACGGGAGGCAGCAGUGGGGAAUCUUAGACAAUGGGGGCAAACCUGAUCUAGCCAUGCCGGGUGAGUGAUGAAGGCCUUAGGGUGUAAAGCUCUUUCAGCUGGGAAGAUAAUGACGGUAAAAGCAGAAGAAGCCCCGGCUAACUCCGUG